rnacentral:lncRNA from 1 species
UAGCAAAUGAUUGAUAUGAUAUAGGCCGUCAAUGCGUAAGUGAUAUGCACAUUAUUAUUUAACGAAUGUUUGAACUGCUUAUUGUGUCUAAUUAACGGUUAUCAAUCGCGAUGUCAACAUAUCAAACUUAUGACUUGUGUGUUAGUUGAAUAUUGUCAUAUUGUGUAUUUUUAGGUUGAAACAUCAUUUACAAUAAAAAGUUACAGCCUUUGACGAAUUAUCUUCAUACAUUUCAACGCAAGGCAAGAUGUCUGUUGAUGCCGAUCACAAAAGAGUAACAAAGAAGAAAAGAAGUACGGCCAAAGGGAGAUUUCAUAGAAUAUAUGGUCGCUUACUAGAAGGAAUACAGGAUGAGUCUAGGGGCAAUUGUGGUGGAAAAAAAUACUUCAAGAUUUGGAAACAGCUUACACAGAACUAGAAGCAAGACAUGAGGUAUUUUUAGAAACAUUUGAUUCUGAAAAUGAAGAAGACAAACC